rnacentral:lncRNA from 1 species
CAAUGACAAGAGGAGGAAAAGAAAACAAAAGUUAUCUGAGAGCAAGCUAGCAGAGAAAUUAAAAUAAUAUAUUCUACACUUCAAAGCCAUGGUGAUUUGUCUGGAAAAGUGAGGAUAAAAUGAGUAAUGAAUUUAACAGAGAUGGUAUUUAUAUUUCACAAGGGCAGAAUGAUCCCUAAAGAAUAAGAAAUGUGGAAGGAAACUGGAAAUAAAAUGGUAAGACAAGCAAAUAUAUAAAUGGAUCUGCUGUCAGACAAGAUAACAGUGAAGGUAUAAAACCUGAACAGAUGCAUCCAGCAGCUGUUUGAGAACUCUGAAAGCAUCUCCUGUCCUGGACUCAAUUCAGCAGGAAAUCUGGAAAUAGAA